GGCACCGCGGCAUUGCACGACCGUGCGCGUCUAAAACUGGGGUGAAAUUACCAGCCUGUCCUCUGGAGGAAAUGGCUUUGGCUAAAUUUAGUACUGAUGCGGAGAGCAGAAUAGAGAUGGCGUGGGACACUCUCAGCUGUUAGUAACAGCCGAGCGAGCAUUACGUCCGCAUGAACUUGUAAACGUGGACGGCGACAGAACGAGAGAUACACCGAGAGUCGGAACGAGGGCAGGAGAGCGAGGGAGACACGGAGACAGCAAUUUCAUACAAGCAGGUAUCUUAGACGGGUCUUGUGAGCAAUAGAUGGCGCUAGCACUAUGAUGGGUGAGACGGAUGCGAAUAUUUCGACGGCUGUCAAGAGUCAGGGAUUAUUAUUAAAUAGCGCCGGCAGUGAGGUAGUGAAGUCGUUGCCGUCGUCACGGAAACGCGGUCUCAAUGACAGUGAGGAUGAGUCACACUCGUCGGUGACGGACCAUGACUCAGUACACAGCACUGACA